rnacentral:lncRNA from 1 species
GAAGAGACAGAAGCCAGGCCGCCCAAGAGAGUCUCUUUCCUCUUUGGAAAUCGAAGAGAGAAGAAGCUGAGGAGCGACUCCGCCCAAACCCAAGAUUCAGAGAUCUCUCUCCAGGCCUUUCCCUCCAGAGCAGGCCAGAGAACUCUCCUCACCCUGGAAGCUCCCUCUUUGGCAGUAGCCCCAGCCUCUCCUCCUGCCCCUCUUCUGGGCUGCACCGGCCCUGUCUACAGCAGCCAUCCCUCGCUCUCCUCUCUCCACCCUGCUGUCCCAGGGAUCAGCUCAUCACGCCCAGGAACGCAAUGGCCAUCUCUGUGCUGGCGAAUCUCAAAUCUCUGCCCACGACCUCAUCUCCAGCUGCCUUCCAGACACCCACAAUUCCAGGCCAGCUCUUCCUCCUCCUCCCUCCCACCUUCCCUGUCACUCUUAAGGGCAACCCUACCCUCCCAGGCCCUCAGCUUCCCGACCUUGGAGUCAUGCAGACCUCCUCCCUUUCACUCCCCAUAUCCAAUAUGGUACCAAAGCCAAUCAAUUUCACUUUGGCAAAAUCACUGGUCAGUUUCACCUCUGCCCCAUCUCUGGUCAGUCUCACCUCUGGUCAGUCUCACCUCUGCCCCAUCUCUGGUCAGUUUCACCUCUGGUCAGUCUCACCUCCACCCCAUCUCUGGUCAGUUUCACCUCUACCCCAUCUCUGGUCAGUUUCACCUCUGGUCAGUCUCACCUCUGCCCCAUCUCUGGUCAGUUUCACCUCUGCCCCAUCUCUAGUCAGUUUCACCUCUGGUCAGUUUCACCUCUGCCCCAUCUCUGGUCAGUUUCACCUCUUCCCCAUCUCUGGUCAGUCUCACCUCUGGUCAGUCUCACCUCUGCCCCAUCUCUGGUCAGUUUCACCUCUGGUCAGUCUCACCUCUGCCCCAUCUCUGGUCAGUCUCACCUCUGCCCCACCUCUAGUCAGUUUCACCUCUGGUCAGUCUCACCUCUGCCCCAUCUCUGGUCAGUUUCACUUCUGGUCAGUCUCACCUCUGCCCAUCUCUGGUCAGUUUCACCUCUGGUCAUUCUCACCUCUGCCCCAUCUCUAGUCAGUUUCACCUCUGGUCAGUCUCACCUAUGCCCCAUCUCUGGUCAGUUUCACCUCUGAUCAGUCUCACCUCUGCCCCAU